UGCUUACUGACACACACACCAACAACACGCAUCGAACCUAACAACUACACAACCUGUGGGGAGCGAUGAUAAACAGCGUGUGCGCACAUGUACGUAUGUGAGAGAAGAAGAGGGACAGAUAAAAAAAAAAAAGCAAGUGAGGCGUGAGAGAGAAAGAGAGGCAGAGAGGGAUCGAGUUGUGAAACAAAGUAUAGAGAAAUCCGUUUCUCUGUGUGUGUGUGUGUGUGUGCGUGUGUGUGUGUGUGUGCGUGUGCGUGUGAGAGUGUGUGUGUGUACGUACGUAUGUGAGUGUUGGUACGGAAAGAGAACUACACGUUGUUACAAAGCGGCCUCCUCGUCUCCUGCAAAGAUGUGAACAUGCAACGUUGAGCGAAAAACCUCACCUGUUGUGGGUGUCGGACUGUUUUUACACAGACACACACACACACACACACACACACACACACACACACACACGCACACACAAACAAACAAACAUUCACAUAUAUACAUACACAAACACACACACACACACACAUAUAUAUAUAUAUAUAUAUAUAUAUAUAUAACAGACACACACACGCACGCAUAUAUGCGUACUUUUUUGCCUCUUCAUCCGAAUCCAAACUGCAAGCGGAAGGACCAUGUUGGGAAUUUUACCUUCAAUCAUGAGAAAAGUUCGCCGGAGCAAACACAUGAAGUUUGAACGAGAUACGUGAUGAUACGUAAUCUUAUAUAGUAACGUAUCCUUGAUAUUUAAACGGAAACAAGGAAAGAACACACACACACACACACACACACACGCAUAUAUAUACAUAUAUACAUAUAUAAAGAUAGAAACAUAUAACCACUCACACGAAUGUAUAUCUGCAUGAUUUUAAUAACCGUGUACAAACGACAAUUAUAAACGAUUCACAACUACUACUACUACUAAUACCAAAAAAUUGCUAAUUUUACUAAUAAUAAUUCUAGCAACACAAUCUUAUGUGAGUAAGAAAGGAAAAAAAAUAAUAAGCGUGCGUGAACUUAAUAUCAUUUAAGAAAAGAAAUUACGUAUAAUAAUAAUAACAGCAACAAUAUUAAGAAAUAACAACUUUCUCAGGAGAUAAAGAUGAUGGAAAUGAUGCCGAUAAUGAUGAUGGUAUCAACCACUACGUUAACAACAACAACAAAACAAUAUUGCAUAGAAUAGUGUUUGGAUGACAGAAAACUUGAAUUUGCUAAUAGGUGUUUAGACAUACACACACACACACAAUCACAUACUCACACCUCGACGCACACUCACACACACUCUCACACACGCUCACACAUGCUCGCACACACGCAUGGUUAUAAACACAUUUAUGCAUAAUACUGCAUCAGAUCAUACAAAAACCGCGUAGUCACGCACACAUACAUACAUACGCGCAUAUACACCCAUGCAAAUGCGCAAAAACCACACAGGUUCAUAGACAUACUCGGAGACACAAUACGCGAUACACAUCAUUACUGUCACCAUCAUCUUCACAAAUACAUCCACCACCACCACCACCACCAUCACCACCAGCACCGGUACCGCCGCCAUCGUCACCUUCGUCAUUACCGCCAUCAUUACCAUCAUAGUCUUCAUCCUUUCCAUACUAAGGAUGUCGACGCUCGCGUGCGUGUGUGCGUGUACGAGUGCGUGUGUGUGAAUAGAUGAAAAUCUCAUUUUGAAAUAAGCGACGAUGCACAAAUAGCCUUGUUUAAUGUGUUUGUGCAUAAUAAUUGUUAAAGGCACACAUAUACCGAAAACUAACCCCUGCACACUCACAACACGUAUAUAAUACACAAACAUAUAUAUAUAUAUAUAUAUGCACAUACACAUAUGCAUAAAAUUGCACUCAUAUACCUCAAAGGAUUAUCAUGAAUAUUCUUAUAAAUGUAUUAAAUUGCACCAAAGUGAAAGGAUAUAAUAAUUCUUGUUUAUGUAUAUAGCCAAAUGCACGCGCGCACAUUCACCUCUAGAGACGCAAAUAUACACACUUGAGUACAUAUAUGUAUAUUUUGGUUAGUAACAGUACAAUGUAUCUAUACACACGUCCAUGUACAGCAAGGAGCAGUGGCCAAGCAGAAAAAAUGAAUUCUGAGAAUCUAAAAACAGACAAAAAAUAACAAGAAUUCUAAUGGUUAAAAUAUGUUAUUUCUAAAACAAAAAUAAUUUUACAUUUUUUUUUUUUGAGGGUGGGUAUAUUUCCAAGUUUUAUGUUCUAUAUCAUAAGACAUCUUAUUUCCAUGAGUAUUCUUUAUAAAAUUCUUUAUAUUUUUCCUCCUUUUAAUAUACCUCGUAUGACGUUUCCGAAACAAGAGUUUUCUCUGUGCGUGUGACUGUGUAUAUAUAUUUGUUACCUAAAAUCUACAAUGAACUUAGAUUCGAAACCCAGCUAAUUGCAAUUACAGAGGACUAAAUACUUGUUACUAAACCAGAGCUGGUUAAAGCUAAACAUAGACGGAUUGGUGACGCCUCUUUCGACAAAACCCUAAACCAAUCGCAAAUGAAAUCGUGAAGUGACCUCAGAAAUGUAUCAGUAUUACAGAUAUUCACCGACUAUUUUCAACACAAAAAUAUCAGGUGAAUACAAGAAAUGUAAAAAAUACGUGUGAAAAGGUUUGUUUCCGGACAUGAACUUCCAUUAAAAUAUACCACAAUGUUUUUCAGUUGAAACGUCAUCCAAUCGCAAAUUGAAUUCUCUAAUUUCUAUAAGCCGAUCAUGUGGCCACUUUCUUCAAAUAUUCUCAACUGCAUUCUCAUCUGUUGGCAUGUAUGAUCGAUAAUUUCCGUGUUUCCUUGGUUCUUAAGAAUUUUGCCACGCAUACCAACCAGGUCACUUAUCUGUGCUGAUCCUGACUAAAGUAACGGUAUAAGAAAGAGAUGCUAAGAAAGGAACAACGCCGAUACGAAUCCCCCUCCCCCUUACACACCACCUGGACGAAUACAAUCAAAACGUUCAAAAACUGUAAAAGAAUUUUUUUUUUUUAAUAAACCAAAAAUACUGUAGAACAAGUCUUCUGACAAAUACGAUCACAAUUUUACACUUAAAACACAAAUGAAGACGAUUAAAUAAAGGUACUAACAAAAGGGCAACGCAAAUUUAUACAGCAUUAACAAAGUACUGAC
rnacentral:misc_RNA from 1 species